rnacentral:lncRNA from 1 species
AGAAAAAAACAAAAAUUCAUGUUUAGACUUUUUUUUUAAUUACAAAAUCAACUUUCAUAGGGUAAAAAAAAUUGACUCAUGCCUCCAGAAUGAGAAACGGGAUGGAAUUCAGAAGAUCCUUUUUCAUAUGAGGGUGUCCUUGAUGUCCAGACAUCCAGUAUAGACAUUCAGGGAAAUUGUUCUAGCUGUGCUUUCAGGUGCCCACCCUGCCCACUCCCAUUUUGGAUAAAAUGCCCCAGCCACAGCACCUGCUGUGGUGAUCAUCAAUUCACAGGUUCAGCUGCUGUCAUCGCAGAGGGUUGAACUAGGGUAAGUGAAUGUCUAACUAGAGAACAUCUAAGGACCAGUGGCCUUAACUUCCCAAACCUAAUUUACAAAGUAAGCUAGGCUAAACAGGUACUUUCUUGGUCGUGUCCGACUCUGUGCGACCCCAUAGACGGCAGUCCACCAGGCUCCCCCAUCCCUGGGAUUC